rnacentral:rRNA from 1 species
CAAUAGCGUAUAUUAAAGUUGUUGCGGUUAAAAAGCUCGUAGUUGGAUUUCUGGCAGUGUGACUCCGGCCGGCGUGAUGCCGGCUCGAGCGCGCUACCAUCCUUCUGUCAACCUUCGCGGGUUUUACCGCCCGCCCUGGGGCUCAGAUAUUUUACCUUGAGAAAAUUAGAGUGUUUCAGGCAGGCUAUCGCCGGAAUACAUUAGCAUGGAAUAAUGGAAAGGAACUUCAACCUCUUCUGUUGGUCUGAGAGGCUGUAGUAAUGAUUAAUAGGGAUAGUUGGGGGCGAUUAGUACUUGACUGUCAGAGGUGAAAUUCUCCGAUUUGUUAAAGACUAACUUAUGCGAAAGACAUUUGUCCAACGG